rnacentral:rRNA from 1 species
CAAUAGCGUAUAUUAAAGCUGUUGCGGUUAAAAAGCUCGUAGUUGGAUUUCUGUCAAGGACAACUGGUCCGCCCUUCGGGUGAGCACAUAGUUUGGUCUUGGCAUCUUGUUGGAAACUGUUGCUGCACUUGGUUGUGUGGCGCAGCGUCCAGCACUUUCACUUUGAGGAAAUUGGAGUGUUUCAAGCAGGCACAUGCCUUUGGACACAGUAGCAUGGAAUAAUUAGAUUGGGCUUUUGCUCCAACUUGUCGGUUUCUGGAGCUGAGGUGAGAAUUAAUGGGGAUUGUUGGGGGCAUCCGAAUUUAGCCGUCAGAGGUGAAAUUCUUGGAUCUGCUAAAGACGGACAACUGCGAAAGCGUUUGCCCGGGAUGUUUUCAUUGA